rnacentral:rRNA from 1 species
UACGAAGGGUGCAAGCGUUACUCGGAAUUACUGGGCGUAAAGCGUGCGUAGGUGGUGAGUUAAGUCUGAUGUGAAAUCCCCGGGCUCAACCUGGGAAUGGCAUUGGAUACUGGCUCGCUAGAGUGCGGUAGAGGGUGGUGGAAUUCCCGGUGUAGCAGUGAAAUGCGUAGAGAUCGGGAGGAACAUCGGUGGCGAAGGCGGUUCUCUGGGCCUGUACUGACGCUGAGGAGCGAAAGCGUGGGGAGCGAACAGG